rnacentral:rRNA from 1 species
GGCGAACGCUGGCGGCGUGCUUAACACAUGCAAGUCGAACGGAAAGGCCCUGCUUUUGUGGGGUGCUCGAGUGGCGAACGGGUGAGUAACACGUGAGUAACCUGCCCUUGACUUUGGGAUAACUUCAGGAAACUGGGGCUAAUACCGGAUAGGAGCUCCUGCUGCAUGGUGGGGGUUGGAAAGUUUCGGCGGUUGGGGAUGGACUUGCGGCUUAUCAGCUUGUUGGUGGGGUAGUGGCUUACCAAGGCUUUGACGGGUAGCCGGCCUGAGAGGGUGACCGGCCACAUUGGGACUGAGAUACGGCCCAGACUCCUACGGGAGGCAGCAGUGGGGAAUAUUGCACAAUGGGCGGAAGCCUGAUGCAGCAACGCCGCGUGCGGGAUGACGGCCUUCGGGUUGUAAACCGCUUUCGCCUGUGACGAAGCGUGAGUGACGGUAAUGGGUAAAGAAGCACCGGCUAACUACGUG